rnacentral:rRNA from 1 species
UACGUAGGGGGCAAGCGUUGUCCGGAUUUACUGGGUGUAAAGGGCGCGCAGGCGGGUCUUUAAGUCAGUGGUGAAAUCCUGCAGCUUAACUGCAGAACUGCCAUUGAUACUGAAGAUCUUGAGUGCGGAAGAGAGAGAUGGAAUUCCAGGUGUAGUGGUGAAAUACGUAGAUAUCUGGAAGAACACCAGUUGCGAAGGCGAUCUCUUGGUCCGUUACUGACGCUGAGGCGCGAAAGCGUGGGUAGCAAACAGG